ACCUUAUGACGCGCUACUACGAUGUGAAAAUAUCUAUUUAGGACGACUUGUCACAAUUUAUAGCGCCGUUCAAGAGGCCGUGAUUACGGAAAUCAUUUCAACAACACCUUUACAAGGCAAAAUUAUCACCGCGGGGAAAUUCAAUAUUCGAAAAUUUCAAUGGGAAUGGAUGACCACAGGGGAGGAGUUGACGUAUCGAAAUUUCGCAAAUCAGUUAGAUGCUGAAGGAAUGUGUUGUUUUAAAUCUAUCUCCGCUACACAAAAUUACCAAUGGUUUGCAUACAAUUGUGACAGCGAGAGGGGCGUGUAUAUUUGUGAGGUUGUAAUUUAAUAAAACCGAGUCCUUUAACUUGAUAUGUAAAUUUCAAUUGAGUGGCAAACUACAUAAUAAUG